CCCUAAAAGGUUUGGGAAAUCUUGGUUCAAUAGUUUAAUUUGUUGUGGUUGUUUGAGUUGAAAGAGGUGGAAUCGUCUCCGUCAAACUCAUCCGUCCAGUUCGCUGCCCCGAGCCAGGUAAUCUUCUCUUUAUUUCAGCAUUUUGUUGGCUCUUGAAAUCUUGUUUGGCGUUAGCUGUUUAAGUAUGUUUUCAGUAGCUUAAAUUUUAUUUUUUAUUUUUUGCCUAUUUUUGAACUGUCUAAUUUAUAUGUGAGAUAUUUAUGUCUUUAAUUUCAUCAUUUUCUACCAUCUUAGGACAAAUAUAAUCAGUAUUGAAUGAAGUUAGAGUUAUUUUUUUUUUUAUUUUUUUUUAUUUUUUUUGUUCAAGCAUUUUAGUUGUCAAGUAGUCGAUCUGUGUAGCUUGUUGUAUUCGUUUGAUUUGAAAAGGUUUUAAAGCGCUAGUUAUUCUCGACUUGCUUCACCUUUUGACUUAUGACAAAUUUUAAAUUUGGAGUUGAAUAUUCUCAUUCAUGAUGAGCGAAAACCUCCCCAUUCAUCUAAUCUUUUUACAUGUAUAAGAGAAUGUAGUGAUUAAUUUCUCUCUAGUCAGCCAUGUGAUCCAAUAUGAGCUUGAAGUGUGUUUAUUUUGAUUAUAGCGCGACUGUUUAAAUUCGAGUUUGCGAACUUGCUUCAUGCUGUCUCAUUUCCAAUCGUUUUCGGCUCCUAGUUGUCGUCCGUCUCUCUGUUUUGAGGUUCCUAUUUUGAUUUCCAUGUGAAUGAUUCAAAAUGAUGUUCGAUUUAGUGUUAUGUCUCAUGUUACCUUAAGAUUAAUGAGUGUAGCUAUAUGUUUAACACAACUGAUAAUUUAUUUAUGUGUUAAGAUGUUAGUUUGUUGUUCUUUAUAAUGCUACUGUCGGGAUUAAUGGAACACAAAAGUUCUCAUGUGUUAACCGAUUUUUAUUUAUUUUUGACUCCUUAAUCUCUAGUUUUCUCUGACUGCUGGUUGAAUUUAAGGUUUAUGUGAAGUUGUUUAAAUUGUCCCUUCCUUGUCUAUUUUCCGAUUUUCUUUGCUCAAAUUUAUAGCUAAAGUUUGUAGUUAUGGAUUGUCUUAAUGUGAAUAUAAAGAAAAGGUUUUAGGAUCAAAUGUUGCCUUCAUUUUGUUUGGCAUAUUACUUGAUUUAUCUCUGCCAAAAAAUGAUUUUCAAUUGUCCAUAAUUAAUUAAGCAUGUUAGUAUAAACUACUUUGAAGUCCUCAUUAUGAUAUGUCAUUUUUAUCGCCUUUAGCAUAACUGAGUUAAUACAUAUCAAUUAAUCUUAUGUGACUUCAAAUAUUUAAAUUUUGAAUCUAAAAGAGAUUGGAGUUUGUACAUCCAUGAGUAGUGUCGGGUUUGGUCUUGAUGUGAUACUUGUUUGAAUCUCUUUAUUUAUUAAUUAUAUGGAAUGUACUCUUUCUAUCAUUAAUUAUUAUACAUGCUAGUUGAAGUCUGCAUGCCUUAAUUCUUGGCUACAAACCUUUCUGCAAGUAUCAUGUGAUAAGCUCCCCAUAUUGUGGUACUAGUUUUUUUUUCUAUUUUAAUUGAAAUUGUUCAUUUUAAGUUAAAAUUUGAAAAAAAAUGCUAGCUUUGUUUGAUCGUACAAAUUAUUUGUGCUUAAAGCUGAAUGAGAUGUGUGCUUUCCUUAAUUAUCUAAAAAUUGUUCACUUUGCUAAUUUACUUUUUUUUUUCUCUUCUUUGUUUGUUGUAUGUGACAUCCGAAUGAGUCCAAUGGACUCUCAUCUCUUGCAUUUUCCUCUUCGAGUCGACCUCCUUUAAACCGACUGAAAUGGAAGUUAUUUUCAUCGGGAUAAGCACCCCAAAAAGACAGCAGCAGCAGUAGCUUAAAGGGCUAAAAGAAUAGUUUUUUUUUUUUUUAUUUGAAAAGUCUGAAAAUGGCACCAGCUGAAGCAGAGUUGCAGCUGCCUCUAAAAGGCAGAAAAACGAGGAGAAAAAAUUGGGUCGAAACCCCGACAAACCACCAGCAGUAGCAGCAGUCCCCAAAGGGACUAAAAUUGGAAAUUUUUGGACUUUAAAAAGUCCAAUCUGGGCAGCAGCAAAUGAGAAGCAGCAAGUGGACUUAAAGUUGUCCAAAUCCUAUUUGCACUUUUGUUUCCCUUAUAUCGUGAUUUUGUGAUACUUGCUCUUAAUUUCUAACAUUUAUUUUAUCAAUUUAGAUGAAUCCUUGGGGUGAUAUGUUUAUUAAAGUUUUCAAAUUUUGAAACUCAUUUUAAGUUAGGUAAUUUAAGCUUUAUAGAAUGACUUGAGAACCUUUUAUGUUCUUUCAUAGUUAUUGAUAAGCUUCGAAUCCAUGUUUACGAGUUUGAACUAACUAUUUGGUUCAAAUUUUUAAAUAGGAUAAAGUUGUUAAGUUUCUUAAAAUAAAUUAGUUGUCUUUUAGUUUAACUUAGGACCUUGUAUGAAUGACUUAAGGAUUUUCUAUAUAUUUUUGUAGUUGUCAAACAA
rnacentral:lncRNA from 1 species